UUCUGAAUCCAAGAUCGGUAC
rnacentral:piRNA from 1 species